GAAGAAGUCAUGGACUCCUGUCUGCUCCUAAAUGUUCACACACGGGUGACAUAGGAUGGUCCUGUGAUGGAUGGCAAAACUGAUGAAGAUGCUGUAUGAAUGUCAAGUCACAGGUCACAUGGGCCGCAGAUGGAAGGCAAAAGUGAUGGAGGUGCCGGACGAACAUCAAGCUCAACAGAGACAGACGUUAGACUGUUAGCUCACACUGAAAGACAGAGAGAGUGAAUCUACAGUAACACAAGACAGAUAGGGUGAUGGCUAGCAAAUGAGACAAGGUACGUAUGGACAGUGAGUAUCAAAGUGAGGACCAAAGACAGGAAAAUGACAAUUAGUAGCCUGCCCGGGGGACAGUCAGCUUGCUGAGGAGACAGAAAGAGGAGGAUUUCUUUAUACAAGACACGUUUUUUUUUUAGCCUUUCAGUCAGACUUUCUUCUAAAUCGGCAUUGGGUUGUCCGAAUCCUUUCCAAGAAUCGCUUGCUGAUGGGGGAUGAACCACGCGGUAGAUGUGACACUCAGCAGAUUCUUGGCAGUAAUGAGACAACAAGACGGGCGAUUAAUGACAACUUGCUGACAGAAGAUACCGCAAGCAGAAUAUUGCUUUGGGAAGAUGUGGAAAAUUAGAUGCAUGAUGGAAAUGUUUGAAUUUAUGGCUUGUUUGACAAAAAAGUCUGCAUUUUAUGUUAUU